rnacentral:rRNA from 1 species
UACAGAGGGUGACAGCGUUGUUCGGAAUUAUUGGGCGUAAAGGGCGCGUAGGCGGUGCGGUAAGUCUGCAGUGAAAUCUCUGGGCUCAACUCAGAGUCUGCUGUAGAAACUGCCGUGCUUGAGUGUGGGAGAGGUGAGUGGAAUUCCCGGUGUAGCGGUGAAAUGCGUAGAUAUCAGGAGGAACACCGGUGGCGAAGGCGGGUCUCUGGGCAACAACUGACGCUGGAGGAGCGAAAGCGUGGGGAGCGAACAGG